ACGGUGAAGCCCAGCUUGCUGGGUGGAUCAGUGGCGAACGGGUGAGUAACACGUGAGCAACCUGCCCCUGACUCUGGGAUAAGCGCUGGAAACGGCGUCUAAUACUGGAUACGAACCACAGUCGCAUGGCUGGUGGUUGGAAAGAUUUUUUGGUUGGGGAUGGGCUCGCGGCCUAUCAGCUUGUUGGUGAGGUAAUGGCUCACCAAGGCGUCGACGGGUAGCCGGCCUGAGAGGGUGACCGGCCACACUGGGACUGAGACACGGCCCAGACUCCUACGGGAGGCAGCAGUGGGGAAUAUUGCACAAUGGGCGCAAGCCUGAUGCAGCAACGCCGCGUGAGGGAUGACGGCCUUCGGGUUGUAAACCUCUUUUAGCAAGGAAGAAGCGAAAGUGACGGUACUUGCAGAAAAAGCGCCGGCUAACUACGUGCCAGCAGCCGCGGUAAUACGUAGGGCGCAAGCGUUAUCCGGAAUUAUUGGGCGUAAAGAGCUCGUAGGCGGUUUGUCGCGUCUGCUGUGAAAUCCCGAGGCUCAACCUCGGGCCUGCAGUGGGUACGGGCAGACUAGAGUGCGGUAGGGGAGAUUGGAAUUCCUGGUGUAGCGGUGGAAUGCGCAGAUAUCAGGAGGAACACCGAUGGCGAAGGCAGAUCUCUGGGCCGUAACUGACGCUGAGGAGCGAAAGGGUGGGGAGCAAACAGGCUUAGAUACCCUGGUAGUCCACCCCGUAAACGUUGGGAACUAGUUGUGGGGUCCUUUCCACGGAUUCCGUGACGCAGCUAACGCAUUAAGUUCCCCGCCUGGGGAGUACGGCCGCAAGGCUAAAACUCAAAGGAAUUGACGGGGACCCGCACAAGCGGCGGAGCAUGCGGAUUAAUUCGAUGCAACGCGAAGAACCUUACCAAGGCUUGACAUACACGAGAACACCCUAGAAAUAAGGGGACUCUUUGGACACUCGUGAACAGGU
rnacentral:rRNA from 1 species